GAUGAACGCUGGCGGCGUGCCUAACACAUGCAAGUCGAGCGAAGCGCUUAAAUUAGCUUUCUUCGGAAUGACGAUUUUUGUGACUGAGCGGCGGACGGGUGAGUAACGCGUGGGUAACCUGCCUCAUACAGGGGGAUAACAGUUAGAAAUGACUGCUAAUACCGCAUAAGACCCCAGCUUCGCAUGAAGCGGUGGUAAAAACUCCGGUGGUAUGAGAUGGACCCGCGUCUGAUUAGCUAGUUGGUAAGGUAACGGCUUACCAAGGCGACGAUCAGUAGCCGACCUGAGAGGGUGACCGGCCACAUUGGGACUGAGACACGGCCCAGACUCCUACGGGAGGCAGCAGUGGGGAAUAUUGCACAAUGGGGGAAACCCUGAUGCAGCGACGCCGCGUGAAGGAUGAAGUAUUUCGGUAUGUAAACUUCUAUCAGCAGGGAAGAAAGUGACGGUACCUGACUAAGAAGCCACGGCUAACUACGUG
rnacentral:rRNA from 1 species